UCAUGAACUUCGUGAAAGUUCUCUUAUCAAGUGUCCACCUAAAAAUGAUUCUUUACCCUUAUGCUUACCAUUGGAAGCGCCAUGUCUUUUCAACGUUCGACAGGAUCCUUGCGAGGAUAAUAAUCUUGCUAACGAGUUACCCACGAUAUUAAAGAAAUUACAGGUAUAGAUAAAGAAAUUUAAUGCCACGGCUAUUCCACCCGGUAAUUUACAAUGGGACCAUAGUGCUAAUCCUGAAUUAUGGUAUCACACUUGGAACAAUUUUGGAGAUUAUAUCGAUACAUUGACUACUGCCAGUGCGUGACAAAUAAGACUUUCUUUUUCUGUAUCUUUUUUUUUUAUUUUUCCUUUUGUAUUUUGUUUACUAAUUUGAUUAUUCGAAGUACAAGGUAUAAGUAAUAAGCAUUUUUUUAUUGUUGCUUAAUAAGUAUAAAGUUAAAUUA